AAUAGAUACCCCGGUAGUCCACGCUGUAAACUAUGAGUACUAGAUGUUGGGUAGGGGAACCUAUCGGUAUCGAAGCUAACGCGAUAAGUAUUCCGCCUGGGAAGUACGGCCGCAAGGUUGAAACUCAAAUGAAUUGACGGGGGCCCGGCACAAGCGGUGGAGCAUGUGGUUUAAUUCGAUGCAACGCGAAGAACCUUACCUACCCUUGACAUCCUGUGAACCUGACUCAGUAGUUGGGGUGCCGAAAGGAGCACAGAGACAGGUGCUGCAUGGCUGUCGUCAGCUCGUGUUGUGAGAUGUUGGGUUAAGUCCCGUAACGAGCGCAACCCUUGCCCUUAGUUGCCAUCAUUUAGUUGGGGACUCUAAGGGGGACCGCCAGUGAUGAACUGGAGGAAGGCGGGGACGACGUCAAGUCAUCAUGGCCUUUAUGGGUAGGGCCACACACGUGUUACAAUGGGGCGUACAGAGGGUCGCGAACCCGCGAGGGGGAGCUAAUCUCAUAAAGCGUCUCGUAGUCCGGAUUGGAGUCUGCAACUCGACUCC
rnacentral:rRNA from 1 species